UCAGUCAGUCACCCCUUUGACAUGCUGCUAAGAGGAAGGAAGACAGCUCCUGUUUGGACUCAGAAGACGCAACUGUGACGAUCGAUGCAGAGUCCGCCGAUCGUUUAAAGCACUCCAGCCACAGGCUGCAAUCAAUCACCGGCAAUCAGCACACCUGAAGCUGAUCAUCAGACCCGCCUUCAUCAGCCUGCACAACCUGCUAUCCCGGGCCAGAACGUAGUUAUCUGUUCCCGUACAGUAAGCCUACACGUCAAGCUCUAUGCGCACUCUUUGCUCUCUGUGAUAUCUCCCCCGUCGUGUUUAUCGUCCCGUGUCCUUCCUUGACGUCCUCCCUGCAGCCUGCCUUCGUUCCACGU